rnacentral:rRNA from 1 species
AUUGAACGCUGGCGGCAGGCCUAACACAUGCAAGUCGAGCGGCAGAGGGAAAGUAGCUUGCUACUUUUGCCGGCGAGCUGCGGACGGGUGAGUAAUGCCUGGGGAUCUGCCCAGACGAGGGGGAUAACUACUGGAAACGGUAGCUAAUACCGCAUACGCCCUACGGGGGAAAGCCGAGGACCUUCGGGCCUUGCGCGAACUGAUGAACCCAGGUGGGAUUAGCUAGUUGGUGAGGUAAUGGCUCACCAAGGGGACGAUCCCUAGCUGGUCUGAGAGGAUGAGCAGCCACACUGGAACUGGGAGACGGUCCAGACUCCUACGGGAGGCAGAAGUGGGGAAUAUUGCACAAUGGGGGAAACCCUGAUGCAGCCAUGCCGCGUGUGUGAAGAAGGCCUUCGGGUUGUAAAGCACUUUCAGCGAGGAGGAAAGGUUGGUAGCUAAUAACUGCCAGCUGUGACGUUACUCGCAGAAGAAGCACCGGCUAACUCCGUGCCAGCAGCCGCAGUAACAC